rnacentral:lncRNA from 10 species
CUAGUCAUUCUUCCCACCUCUUUGCUGGGCUGACUGCUGCUCGUUCUUGUGUCUCAGCUUCCACACUCCCUCUUCAGGGCCUCCCUGUCUACCCUCACUCCAGAGUGGCCGUUGCCACGGCCCACAGUUCCCCACCUACCAGUCUUCCCACACAGGUUGAGAGAGGAGGGGAUCCAAUUGCCUGUGAGGAGGACACGGCUCCUGGGUGGACCCUGCAGAUUGUGAAGUUCAAGUCACAGCUCCUGGGAAGGUCUCUGUGUGUAAAGAUCGUGGGGGUGAGACAGAUUCAGGGACCACACUCUGCUCUGCUCUGUACCUCUGAGUGUCGAUCCAGCUGCCUUGUGACCAGGACACUUAGAAGAAGCAUGGACCCUGCAAGAGGAUGGGCUCAAGGACAGCUUGCCUGACUGCAGCCAUAAGGAUGAAGCCUCUUCAGGUAGAGAAGGACUCCAGGUCAUUUGGCCAAUUUAAUGCCGACAGAAGAGGCCACCAUCUGAAUGUAAUUUAUCUCCUCUUUCAUCUCCUUUCAUUCCCCUCCUCCUUUUUUUUUUUUUUUUGGGACAGAGUCUCACUCUGUUGCCCAGGCUGGAGUGCAGUGGCGUGAUCUUGGCUCACUGCAAGCUCUGCCUCCCAGGUUCACGCCAUUCUCCUGCCUCAGCCUCCUGAGUAGCUGGGACUACAGGCACCCGCCACCACGCCCAGCUAAUUUUUUGUGUUUUUAGUAGAGACGAGGUUUAGCGUGUCUAUGUGACACCCCAGGAUUUUAGCAGAUACACAAGUGAAAAACCAUGUUGCUAAAAAGUAUUUCCCAUCUUCCAAUUUUCUUAUCAUCAUCUUGGAAAUAAAAUCUGUACGUACUUGGGAAUAAAAUUUAUUGAAUUAUCAAAAAUAUGUAUGCUAAUGUAUGUGAGUCAUUAGCUAUAUCCACAUUGACAUAAAAUUUGUGAAGACUCUUCAAAAUCUCUUAAAGAUUUAUUUGGCUGGGCGCGGUGGCUCACGCCUGUAAUCCCAGCAGUUUGGGAGGCUGAGGCAGGCGGAUCAUGAGGUCAGGAGAUGGAGACCAUCCUGGCUAACACGGUGAAACCCCGUCUCUACUAAAAAUACAAAAAACUAGCUGGGCGUGGUGGCGCGCGCCUGUAGUCCCAGCUACUCGGGAGGCUGAGGCAGGAGAAUGGCGUGAACCCGGGAGGCGGAGCUCGGAGUGAGCCGAGAUCACGCCACUGCACUCCAGCCUGGGUGACAGAGCGAGGACUCUGUCUCAAAAAAAGGAAAAAUAAAAACACGAGAACGUACUGCAGGAGAAAACAGGCCUGGCCUGAGACGGCUGUGCCGGCUUUCUGAGGCCGUGAAUGGCAAGACCUCGAGACUGUCAAGAGGAGCAAGAGGAGUCGGGAUUUAGCGUCAGUGAUGAGGUGCGCCACUCACUGUGUGACUUCAGAGUGUUUCUGGGGAAAGAAAAUGAAGUCCUGUGAAGUAUGCGGAGCACCCUCAGCAGCAGCCGUGGAUCUGAACAGCCUCCCAGACACAGACGCCAUGGGUGUGAAGUGUGUCAGGAACAAGCGAAGUCACCCACAAUGGAGAGGAACACCCUAGUGUGCUAGAACUUUUGAACCACUUUUCCUCCUGUCUUGGGUCAGGCCUCAUAGCUAACCCUUUGGUGCGCGGUACUCUCUCUGGCUAUUGGAGAGAUGUGAGAAGCUUAAGAAAAGCAAAUGAGAAGACGUGGAGCAGGCAGAUGGCCGGUCCCCAUGGAAGAGUCCCCAUUGUGAGGCCUCCCUGGGGAUCUGGCGGUGGCCACAACACACUGGCCGGUGAGAUUGGUUGUGAUUGUCAUUGUUGUGGAAAAUGAUUAUCAUCUGUCCUCAAUGGUGCCAAUGCUGACUCACCUGGAGGUGGAAUGAUGGCCAUGGUGACACUGAGGAGGGAGCGUGGCAGAGGGAAUGAUGGCCGUGGUGACACUGAGGAGGGAGCGUGGCAGAGGGAAUGAUGGCCGUGGUGACACUGAGGAGGGAGCGUGGCAGAGGGAACGAUGGCCAUGGCUGACAUUGAGGAAGGAGCUGGCAGAGGGAAUGAUGGCCGUGGUGACACUGAAGAGGGAGCGUGGCAGAGGGAAUGAUGGCCAUGGUGAAACUGAGGAGGGAGCGUGGCAGAGGGAAUGAUGGCCGUGGUGAUAUUGAGGAGGGAGCGUGGCAGAGGGAACGAUGGCCAUGGUGACACUGAGGAGGGAGCGUGGCAGAGGGAACGAUGGCCAUGGUGACACUGAGGAGGGAGCGUGGCAGAGGGAACGAUGGCCAUGGUGACACUGAGGAGGGAGCGUGGCAGAGGGAACGAUGGCCAUGGUGACACUGAGGAGGGAGCGUGGCAGAGGGAACGAUGGCCAUGGCUGACAUUGAGGAGGGAGCUGGCAGAGGGAACGAUGGCCAUGGCUGAC